GACGAACGCUGGCGGCGUGCUUAACACAUGCAAGUCGAACGAAGUGGCGAACGGGAGAGUAACGCGUAAUCAACCUGCCCUUCAGAGGGAGACAACAGUAGGAAACGACUGCUAAUACCGCAUCCGGAAGGAGGGGGAUGCGUUUGAUUUGCUAGUUGGAGGGGUAACGUCGCACCAAGGCGAUGAUCAGUAGCCGGUCUGAGUGGGUUACCGUCUACAGUGGGACUGAGACACGGCCCCGCCUCAUACGGGAUGCAGCAGGGGGGAGUCUUCCGCAAUGGACGAAAGUCUGAUGGAGCAACGCCGCGUGAGUGAUGACGGCCUUCGGGUUUGAAAGCUCUGUUAAGCGGUACGCGGUACCGUAAUAGAAAGCCACGGCUAACUACGUGCCAGCAGCCGCGGUAAUAC
rnacentral:rRNA from 1 species